rnacentral:tRNA from 1 species
GACAUCUUAGCCAAGUGGUUAAGGCGAUAGACAGCUAAUCUAUUUCCCUCGGGAGCGGAGGUUCGAAUCCUUCAGAUGUCA